GAUGCAAAGAUUGAUGUCUUGAAAGAUGACUUGGAUGAAUUUGCUGUGUCUUCAUUAUAUAUGGGAUAUUUAUUUGAAAAGGAAAUUAAAGAGAAAAAUUAUAAUAAUGAAGUUAACGAAAUCAGAGAGAUGUGCAAGGAUUUUAUAAAGGAGCUAAUUAUCCAACUCAGAGAAAGACUUCCAGAUAAUAUUGAGACAUUAGAAAAACUUAGAAAAUUAGAAAACACAAAAACAUUAGAAAGUUUUUGCAGCAGAAAAUGUACUCGAACAUAAUAAAAAUCAUAAUGAUCUCAUUUCCAUAUUGGAACACUUUAACUAUAAGAAUAUAGAUGGAAUUCUUGCCCAAUAUGGCAAAAUUCAAUUAGUCCCUUGGCAAAGUACAGAUGACACGAUACAAUUUUGGUCAAAAGUACUGACUUAUAAAGAUGCUGGCAAAAACAAGCCUUUUGAAGAAAUCGCUUUAUUUGCCAUUGGCAUUUUAAGUCUACCGUGCUCAAAUGCUGCUAUUGAACGUGUAUUCAGUCAAAUGAAUAUUGGUAAGACCAAGCUAACGAACAAAAUGACCGUUAAGUCCUUAAACUCAAUAUUAAAUAUAAGAUAUGGAUUGCGCCGUCAUGGAAAAUGUUGUCACAACUAUCAAUUACCGGAGAAAUAUUUAAAUUUAAUACGUUCCAGCGAUAAAUAUACCGAUUCAAGCAAUAGCGAAUUGGAUGAAAUAAUAACACAAGUAUAAAUGUA